GACGAACGCUGGCGGCGUGCCUAAUACAUGCAAGUCGAACGAGAGCGACCGGUGCUUGCACUGGUCAAUCUAGUGGCGAACGGGUGAGUAACACGUGGGUAACCUGCCCAUCAGAGGGGGAUAACAUCCGGAAACGGAUGCUAAAACCGCAUAGGUCUUCGAGCCGCAUGGCUUGAAGAGGAAAAGAGGCGCAAGCUUCUGCUGAUGGAUGGACCCGCGGUGCAUUAGCUAGUUGGUGAGGUAACGGCUCACCAAGGCCGUGAUGCAUAGCCGACCUGAGAGGGUGAUCGGCCACAUUGGGACUGAGACACGGCCCAAACUCCUACGGGAGGCAGCAGUAGGGAAUCUUCCGCAAUGGACGCAAGUCUGACGGAGCAACGCCGCGUGAGUGAAGAAGGUUUUCGGAUCGUAAAACUCUGUUGCUAGGGAAGAACAAGUGCUAGAGUAACUGUUAGCGCCUUGACGGUAUCUAACCAGAAAGCCACGGCUAACUACGUG
rnacentral:rRNA from 1 species